UUUUCUUUAUCCCAGCAGAAAGAACUGUAUCCCAGAAAUGUUAGGUUUCAAGAAAUGUAUCAGAUGGGAACAUUUUGUUAAGAUGUCACUGACUCCAUGUGAAAAUUACAUGACUAAGCAGCAGCUUUAAUAACAGCCCUGAGACAUGUUGGCGAUCUGAAAACCAAGUUCUGGUUGGAACCUUUGUACAGAGCAGGUGGGGCACUUCCAUUUCAGUGUGAGGCAACAUUACGCCUCUCACGUCACACAUUGAUAGUGUAUUUCUGGCUGAAUGCGAAUGGAAUAAAUCUUACAGCAUGUCGGAACGAAUAUUUGGUCAAUCCUGAUUUUGCAAACGACAUACAGAGUACGAAACGGAGCCCUAUUGGUUUAGCAUAUCUAUUUACACUAGCCGCGACGCAACUGUGCGUUUCGCCUACUCCAAUAACGUGCGGGUAGAAAUAAAACAAACACUAUGUAAACCAAAAACAUUGCCGGUACAGGAACUCAGACAACGACCUACGGAGUACUGCCGCUGGGAAACAAAGUUUUUUGCGUGAAUAGUAUACGCUCCUACAUCGUCAAUCAGAAGUGCGUAAACCAGAUAUUGUGGAAUUCAUUGGAUGUCGGCGUCGCCAACGUGCAUUACUCAUUUACCAAUGACGGUGUGAUUCACCAUCCAUCUCCCACAUCCUUAGUUCUUCUACGACGUGUCCGAUUGCAUUGUUCCACGUGAAAAAAGUGUCCUAAGAUAUUGCUGUGCCAAGGAGCUGACGCGUGACGCAUUUCACGCAGUUUUGAAGGUUGAUUCUUUGUGAAUCGGUUUGUGACUGCGACCGCAAGUUUGCAUUGUGUAAAUAAAGUUAUGCAGUCAGAUUCUACGCGCGCGCACCACAAUGUUAUAUAGACAUGUAUUUGUAAGCUGUAAAAUUACAAUUAUUAGUAUUACUUAUUUUUCGCGAAUAGUGUUUUGGGGUAAAUGAACAAAGUAUAUAAUAAUACUAAUUACGAAU